CCUACGGGAGGCAGCAGUGGGGAAUAUUGGACAAUGGGGGCAACCCUGAUCCAGCCAUGCCGCGUGUGUGAAGAAGGCCCUCGGGUUGUAAAGCACUUUCAGUGAGGAAGAACGCCUGGUGGUUAAUACCCAUCAGGAAAGACAUCACUCACAGAAGAAGCACCGGCUAACUCCGUGCCAGCAGCCGCGGUAAUACGGAGGGUGCGAGCGUUAAUCGGAAUUACUGUGCGUAAAGCGCGCGUAGGUGGCUUGAUAAGCCGGUUGUGAAAGCCCCGGGCUCAACCUGGGAACGGCAUCCGGAACUGUCAAGCUAGAGUGCAGGAGAGGAAGGUAGAAUUCCCGGUGUAGCGGUGAAAUGCGUAGAGAUCGGGAGGAAUACCAGUGGCGAAGGCGGCCUUCUGGACUGACACUGACACUGAGGUGCGAAAGCGUGGGUAGCAAACAGGAUUAGAUACCCUAGUAGUC
rnacentral:rRNA from 1 species